UACGUAGGGGGCAAGCGUUGUCCGGAAUUAUUGGGCGUAAAGCGCGUGUAGGCGGCCAGAUAAGUCCGCUGUGAAAUCUCGAGGCUCAACUUCGAGCUGUCGGUGGAAACCAUCUGGCUAGAGUCCGGAAGAGGAGAGUGGAAUUCCUGGUGUAGCGGUGAAAUGCGCAGAUAUCAGGAAGAACACCCGUGGCGAAGGCGGCUCUCUGGGACGGUACUGACGCUGAGACGCGAAAGCGUGGGGAGCGAACAGG
rnacentral:rRNA from 1 species